rnacentral:rRNA from 1 species
CAGGACGACGCUGGCGGCGUGCUUAACACAUGCAAGUCGAACGGUAAGGCCCUUCGGGGUACACGAGUGGCGAACGGGUGAGUAACACGUGGGUGAUCUGCCCUGCACUUCGGGAUAAGCUUGGGAAACUGGGUCUAAUACCGGAUAGGACCACGGUCUGCAUGGAUUGUGGUGGAAAGCUUUUGCGGUGUGGGAUGGGCCCGCGGCCUAUCAGCUUGUUGGUGGGGUGAUGGCCUACCAAGGCGACGACGGGUAGCCGGCCUGAGAGGGUGUCCGGCCACACUGGGACUGAGAUACGGCCCAGACUCCUACGGGAGGCAGCAGUGGGGAAUAUUGCACAAUGGGCGCAAGCCUGAUGCAGCGACGCCGCGUGGGGGAUGACGGCCUUCGGGUUGUAAACCUCUUUCAGCAGGGACGAAGGGUGACUGACGGUACCUGUAGAAGAAGCACCGGCCAACUACGUG